rnacentral:ncRNA from 1 species
UCCAUCGCGAGGUGGAAUCCGGAGGAAGCUGGAGACAAACUCUCGACCCGAGGUACACGAAUCGCAUCUGAGGCUGUCGCAGUUGGAUGAGUUGCCAAGACACAACGAAGUCCGAAGUCCAAGGGCUGUGGCAGUAAAUGCGGCGGGUGCAUGAGAGGAAAGGGGCCGCU